GCCGGAGUGGCGGAAUGGCAGACGCACCUGACUCAAAAUCAGGCGGGUAACACCGUGGGGGUUCAAGUCCCUUCUCCGGCACCA
rnacentral:tRNA from 7 species